rnacentral:rRNA from 1 species
CCUACGGGUGGCAGCAGUGAGGAAUAUUGGUCAAUGGGCGGAAGCCUGAACCAGCCAAGUAGCGUGCAGGAUGACGGCCCUACGGGUUGUAAACUGCUUUUAUACGGGAAUAACGCGCCUUACGUAUAGGGCUUUGCAUGUACCGUAUGAAUAAGGACAGGCAAAUUCCGUGCCAGCAGCCGCGGUAAUACGGAAGGUCCGGGCGUUAUCCGGUUGUACUGGGUUUAAGGGGGGCGUAGGCGGGCUUUUAAGUCGGCGGUAAAAAUUCGGGGUGCAACGCCGUCCGGCCGUUGAAACUGGGAGCCUAGAGUGGGAGAGAGGAAAGCGGAAUGCGUGGUGUAGCGGUGAAAUGCAUAGAUAUCACGCAGAACCCCGAUUGCGAAGGCAGCCUUCCGGCGCCCUACUGACGCUGAGGCACGAAAGUGCGGGGAUCAAACAGGAUUAGAUACCCUAGUAGUC